UACUAAGGGGGCUAGCGUUGUUCGGAAUCACUGGGCGUAAAGCGCACGUAGGCGGAUUGUUAAGUCAGGGGUGAAAUCCCGAGGCUCAACCUCGGAACUGCCUUUGAUACUGGCGAUCUAGAGUCCGGGAGAGGUGAGUGGAACUGCGAGUGUAGAGGUGAAAUUCGUAGAUAUUCGCAAGAACACCAGUGGCGAAGGCGGCUCACUGGCCCGGAACUGACGCUGAGGUGAGAAAGCGUGGGGAGCAAACAGG
rnacentral:rRNA from 1 species